UACCCUUUAUCUUGUGCUGGUUCCCAUUACCAGACACCAGAUGUAGGGGAUGGCCCUUCCUGUGGCGGUGAUGGGAGGCAAGAGGGAAUCCGGUGGGAAACCGGAACUGCCCCGCAGCGGUAACAGGGAACGACGGCGACAUCACGCACUGGUCAGCUGGCUGGGAAGCGUCGCUCGGUAGGAACCCGUCUAACGACGGAGGCCCUGAAGUCCGAAUACCUGCCAGUACCCGGGUCAACGAC
rnacentral:ncRNA from 22 species